CAGCCGCCGCGGGAACACGAAGGGGGCUAGCGUUGUUCGGAUUUACUGGGCGUAAAGCGCACGUAGGCGGAUCGAUCAGUCAGGGGUGAAAUCCCAGAGCUCAACUCUGGAACUGCCUUUGAUACUGUCGAUCUGGAGUAUGGAAGAGGUGAGUGGAAUUCCGAGUGUAGAGGUGAAAUUCGUAGAUAUUCGGAGGAACACCAGUGGCGAAGGCGGCUCACUGGUCCAUUACUGACGCUGAGGUGCGAAAGCGUGGGGAGCAAACAGGAUUAGAUACCCCCGUAGUCCCUGUCUCUUAUAC
rnacentral:rRNA from 1 species